UUCGAGAACUAGAUAGUUCCUGAAACCCAAGUGUGAUAUUUCAAUGAUGAAGCUCGUGAAGAUGAUAUUUUUGGCGAUUGCUGUCAUUGGGUGCGUGUCGCACGCACAUGCCAAGCCCCGCGUCGAAGGGAUGCAACUCAAGUAAAAAUCUAAUGAAUAUAUAUCAGGUGUCUUCCUCGAGGAUUUUCUGUUUCACCUGGUUAAAUGUCAUUUGUCUCGUUAAAUACUUCAUUUAUUCUCCACAAUGGUCGACUAUUUUUGCAGAGAUAAUUUUGGUGACGUUAAAAAUAGAGUUCCCGAAUUUCUGAAUUUGGCGGGAGGUAGAGGGAUGAGGGUAAAAGUAUUAAAAUAAUAUUUAAAGUUGUUACGUCUUUCCAACCCUCAUCUUCCUUCCGGCUCCACCACUGGCCUCUCCCCGUCCGCUGCCCGGAAAUGUAAUAAAUUGAAAGAAAAUAAAUAAGUCACUGAAA